rnacentral:rRNA from 1 species
CGUGGGUAAUCUACCCUCGAAUUGGGGAUAACAUCGCGAAAGCGAUGCUAAUACCGAAUAAUAUCUUAAAAACUUCGGUUUUAAAGAUCAAAGGUGGCCUCUACAUGUAAGCUACUGUUUGGGGAUGAGCCCGCGUACCAUUAGCUUGUUGGUAGGGUAAUGGCCUACCAAGGCUGCGAUGGUUAGCUGGUCUGAGAGGAUGAUCAGCCACACUGGAACUGACACACGGUCCAG